GGUAUGCUUCUUCGGAACAGAGACCGGCGCACGGGUGCGUAACGCGUAUGCAAUCUACCUUUUACAGAGGGAUAGCCCAGAGAAAUUUGGAUUAAUACCUCAUAGCAUAGCAACUUCGCAUGAAGUCACUAUUAAAGUCACAACGGUAAAAGAUGAGCAUGCGUCCCAUUAGCUAGUUGGUAAGGUAACGGCUUACCAAGGCUACGAUGGGUAGGGGUCCUGAGAGGGAGAUCCCCCACACUGGUACUGAGACACGGACCAGACUCCUACGGGAGGCAGCAGUGAGGAAUAUUGGACAAUGGGCGCAAGCCUGAUCCAGCCAUGCCGCGUGCAGGAUGACGGUCCUAUGGAUUGUAAACUGCUUUUAUACAGGAAGAAACCCUGGUUCGUGAACCAGCUUGACGGUACUGUAAGAAUAAGGAUCGGCUAACUCCGUGCCAGCAGCCGCGGUAAUACGGAGGAUCCAAGCGUUAUCCGGAAUCAUUGGGUUUAAAGGGUCCGUAGGGCGGUUUAGUAAGUCAGUGGUGAAAGCCCAUCGCUCAACGGUGGAACGGCCAUUGAUACUGCUAAACUUGAAUUAUUAGGAAGUAACUAGAAUAUGUAGUGUAGCGGUGAAAUGCUUAGAGAUUACAUGGAAUACCAAUUGCGAAGGCAGGUUACUACUAAUUGAUUGACGCUGAUGGACGAAAGCGUGGGUAGCGAACAGGAUUAGAUACCCUGGUAGUCCACGCCGUAAACGAUGGAUACUAGCUGUUGGGAGCAAUCUCAGUGGCUAAGCGAAAGUGAUAAGUAUCCCACCUGGGGAGUACGUUCGCAAGAAUGAAACUCAAAGGAAUUGACGGGGGCCCGCACAAGCGGUGGAGCAUGUGGUUUAAUUCGAUGAUACGCGAGGAACCUUACCAAGGCUUAAAUGUAGUUUGACCGAUUUGGAAACAGAUUUUUCGCAAGACAAAUUACAAGGUGCUGCAUGGUUGUCGUCAGCUCGUGCCGUGAGGUGUCAGGUUAAGUCCUAUAACGAGCGCAACCCCUGUUGUUAGUUGCCAGCGAGUCAUGUCGGGAACUCUAACAAGACUGCCAGUGCAAACUGUGAGGAAGGUGGGGAUGACGUCAAAUCAUCACGGCCCUUACGCCUUGGGC
rnacentral:rRNA from 1 species